GAUGAAGAACGUAGCGAAAUGCGAUACGUAAUGUGAAUUGCAAAUUCAGUGAAUCAUCGAGUCUUUGAACGCACAUUGCGCCCCCUGGUAUUCCGGGGGGCAUGCCUGUCCGAGCGUCAUUGCUGCCCUCAAGCACGGCUUGUGUGUUGGGCCCCGUCCUCCGAUUCCGGGGGACGGGCCCGAAAGGCAGCGGCGGCACCGCGUCCGGUCCUCGAGCGUAUGGGGCUUCGUCACCCGCUCUUGUAGGCCCGGCCGGCGCUUGCCGACACAUCAAUCUUUUUUCCAGGUUGACCUCGGAUCAGGUAGGGAUACCCGCUGAACUUAAGCAUAUCAAUAAGCGGAGGA
rnacentral:misc_RNA from 1 species